GUAUUUAUUGUAGAAGCGAGGGGGUUGGAGUAUCAGUUAUAUUUAGUUCGGCAAUUGAAGACUAAGAUAUCUCGGAACGUUUAACAAUCGGAGAAGGUUGUGCUAUUGUUCUUUGAUAUCGAACGACACGCGGGAGUUUAAAACUACGACAGUUAUGCCGUCGAGACGGUAUUACAAGAAGUGGAUAACACCGGUAUCCAGUUUCGUAGGCGUGUUCAAACUGCGCCGAGCCCGAGAAUUCAGAGGGCAUGCGUCUGCUAUUUUCUCCGCUGACUCGACGCGUACAAGGAGUGUAUAAAAAAACUGUUCAAGAAGGGGUGCUGGACACGUGAAUGAAAAUUCGCACGAACAAGAUUCCUUCUCUUGCAAAAUAAUAACCAGCUCCCUGCCCGCGCUGCCGUAUACACUACUGGCCUUUUCAUUCGUGGGGUAUUAGGGUACCAACCCACUGAACUGUAACAUGACUGGAACGCUGAAUGCAUUGGCUAGGGAUAGGACUAACCCAUGGGGCUGAGGGUGACUUCCCAGGUGCACACGGAACACGGAUUACCGAAAGACGGAACGAAUUGUCGGAGAAAAGCAAAUGGACAUCGAUUUCGCGUUGUUCUGUUCCAUGAAUAUGCUACGUGGGACAGUUAAAAAAACCAGAAUCGGAACGGAACGACAACACACCCCUGUCUUCUACGGCACAAGCUUAUGUACCGAAUACAUAGGAUACAUAAAUCAAAGAGGAUUAGGGGAUACAUAACCUCUGUUGAAACGUACGUUAACUCAUAGCUCUGGGUUAUUUUUCCCAACAGUUUGUCGGGUCUGGCCGGGUUUGGGGGUAUUAGCAGUUUCACUUAUUAUCAACCAAGCAACUGACACGUCGGCAAAAGAAGUUCUUGAUAACCAACAACUAUCGCGUACAAAACGUUGGUAAUAUACCCUUGUCAUCGUGAAAUUGAAAAGUUAAGAAAAUCUCGCACAAGAAAUAUGUACACCGAAAUUAUACGACGGAAAAAUAAAUAUUAUUGAAAUACAUGAAC
rnacentral:lncRNA from 1 species